rnacentral:rRNA from 1 species
AGAGUUUGAUCCUGGCUCAGGAUGAACGCUGGCGGCGUGCCUAACACAUGCAAGUCGAACGAAGAUGCAUUUCAGAUCCCUUCGGGGUGACGAGGUGCAGACUUAGUGGCGGACGGGUGAGUAAUGUAUGAGCAACCUGCCUUCAAGAGGGGAAUAACAGUCGGAAACGACUGCUAAUACCGCAUAACAAAGCGUAGUCGCAUGACAAUGCUUUCAAAGGAGCAAUCCGCUUGAAGAUGGGCUCAUAUCUGAUUAGAUAGUUGGUGAGGUAACGGCUCACCAAGUCUGCGAUCAGUAGCCGGACUGAGAGGUUGAACGGCCACAUUGGAACUGAGACACGGUCCAGACUCCUACGGGAGGCAGCAGUGGGGAAUAUUGGGCAAUGGGCGAAAGCCUGACCCAGCAACGCCGCGUGAAGGAAGAAGGUCUUCGGAUUGUAAACUUUUGUCUUAUGGGACGAUAAUGACGGUACCAUAGGAGGAAGCCACGACUAACUACGUGCCAGCAGUCGCGGUAAUACGUAGGUGGCGAGCGUUAUCCGGAAUUAUUGGGUGUAAAGGGUGCGUAGGCGGGUCGUAAAGUCAGAUGUGAAAUGCGGAGGCUCAACCUCCGAACUGCAUUUGAAACUUACGAUCUUGAGUGGAGUAGAGGCAAGCGGAAUUCCCGGUGUAGCGGUGAAAUGCAUAGAUAUCGGGAGGAACACCAGUGGCGAAGGCGGCUUGCUGGGCUUUUACUGACGCUGAGGCACGAAAGUGUGGGGAGCAAACAGGAUUAGAUACCCUGGUAGUCCACACCGUAAACG